CUACGGGGGGCUGCAGUGGGGAAUAUUGGGCAAUGGGCGCAAGCCUGACCCAGCAACGCCGCGUGAGGGAAGAAGGUUUUCGGAUUGUAAACCUCUGUCCUUGGGGACGAAGAAGUGACGGUACCCAAGGAGGAAGCUCCGGCUAACUACGUGCCAGCAGCCGCGGUAAUACGUAGGGAGCAAGCGUUGUCCGGAAUUACUGGGCGUAAAGGGUGCGUAGGCGGCAUAUUAAGUCAGGUAUGAAAUACUCGGGCUCAACCCGGGGGCUGCAUUUGAAACUGAUAUGCUUGAGUGUGAGAGAGGAAAGUGGAAUUCCUAGUGUAGCGGUGGAAUGCGUAGAUAUUAGGAGGAACACCAGUGGCGAAGGCGACUUUCUGGCUCAUAACUGACGCUGAGGCACGAAAGCGUGGGGAGCAAACAGGAUUAGAUACCCUAGUAGUC
rnacentral:rRNA from 1 species